AGUCUCGAUUCCAGCGCAGUGGGAGCGACCGCACCGAAUCCAUCCACCCUGGGUUGUAGGAGCAGAGAAAAGGCAAUUCAUCCGGCCUGUCCCGAAUGGAGACGCGGUCGAAUCCAUCGAGUCCGGAUUCCAGGCGCUCAAAGAUCCAAUUCAUCCGGUCCGGAUUUGAGCCGCACAGACGAGCCGCCGCUUCCGUCGAUUCGGUCCACCUGAGGUGCGUGAUGGACCGAGGCAAGUACAUCUGUGCGCUGAGAUCGACCGGAGGAGCAGGAUCCGGGUCCAGACGUUGCAGUCCAGAGCUGAAGCGAAGAGGCGGUCCGAGUCCUGCCGAUGCAGUUGAGAGCUCAAGCGACGAGGCACACGAUGCGGCUAAAGAAAGUUGGGGACGAGGGCGAUAAUGGCAGAUGCCUCGUCUGCAUGAAAUGGCUCUGCUCUCUCUUGAAUCUUGCAAUCAUGGCCUAUUCAUGCCUGGUAAUGUUACAAUCAUUUCCUAUGGUCAGUGCUACUAUAUAAUGCUUCACCUCUACACUCGGCAUCAACAUCUUAUUCAGCAUCAUGCUCAGGUAUCUUUCCUGUAAAUUGCAUGAAAAAAUUACAUUGUCCUCAUAUCCUCUGAAAGAAAAUAUCCUCAUAUCCUCUCAUGUCGUACAGGUGAUCUUGGUCGAUUGAUUUGAGUAGAUUCUGGAGCUUCGUACUGUCAAGUUUUUUUCUCAACAGUUCAUCAUCUGAAAUGGCUUUUGGACAGGUAACCUCCCGAAGAAAAUGCGUUCGAUCGCUGCCAUAUGAAAGGUCGACGGGGUUGACUGGCUCGAUCCAGCCGAGCGCGAUGCAGGCGACGCGCAGAUCCUGGGAUACAACCGACGCACGCGAUCUGUCUACGAGGGGGUCCAUCUGACGCGUGUGAUCCUUUGGGAUUUGAAGAAAGGCAAUUAGUCUUCAGUUUCUAGAGUCGUUCAUGGUGGAUGAUGUAUGCCCGUCGUUGACGGCGAUUAGUGAAGGUGGUGACUGUUGUUUCACGCUGGUGAGGAGAUAUUGCACAAAGCUUAAGUGACCGAAAUCCACCCCUCAGUCAGAUUGGGACAUCUAAAAUACCUACCAAUCAGCGAACACAAUGGAAUACAUGUGGCAGUUGCUGACCAGACUUGAGUCUAACAAAUGAGCAGUACCUAUGACCGCAUCCGCGUAGGAUGAACAUGAUGUAUACCCCAAAAAUUGUUGACCUGUUAAGUAUAUUUUCCUGGCGUGGAUGCUAAAGUCCGAGCAGGGAAACCAAAAGCUACUGCAGCUACUUGACUGCAAGAUGCAGUUUGGUUGUGCAUGACGCAUGCUGCUAGAGCUAUGAGAUGAGUUUGACUCCACUAAGCUUUGUUUGAUAAAUAGUGUUAAGUCCCCUCUUGGGUUGCACACAUUAUUACUUUGCCUUCGUGGGGAAACUGAUUGUAUGAAUGGAUCGGUUAAUUUUACUAAGGUUAGUGCCAGUAAGUUGAAUUGUUUCUAUAUAGAAAAUGAAAUGUUAGUGCCAUUGUUCUAUGUCUUAUUGGAUUCCAGUAAGUUGAAUCAGUUUGGAUAAAAUUAAAAUUUAAGCGACAUGUAAUUUGCACAAUAUGGA